rnacentral:lncRNA from 1 species
GUCACUACUUGCAAGGAAGUCAGUAUUUUAGAAUAGUCUUUUUCUGUACAUAAUGCCACUGUAUGUCAUUAUUCGAAACGUAUUAUAAAAUAUAUUCUGAGAAACACCAAAAAAAAAAAAAACACCACUUUUUCAAAAAAGAAAAUAUGAAAAAAACUAUUUGCUAACAGUGAACACAGAACAUGAAUCAGAGCUGUUUCAUUCUCAAAAUCAUUUCCUCCAAACUCAUAAAAUCUAUUCUGAUAUGCCAAAAAUGGCAAGCAAGAAAAGACAGAAGGCUUGCACAGAUGAAAAAGGAGCUGCUUCUGACAAUCAUAAACACGAAUAGAAAGCAUACAAAAAGUAAAAGCGGGGUCAGGCCACCAGGAGGAACAUGAAAAUAUAGUGCUAGGUGUAUUGGGUUUACAUGGCAAGGGUUUUUGGUAGCAGGGGAGCUACAGAGGUGGCCUCUGUAAGCAGAGUCCAGCAGCCCCAUGUCAAAUCAGAGACAGCUCCACCCAGCUCCAAAAGGGACCCACUGCUGGCCGGUGAGAGAAGUUGGUUAGGCCUCCAGGAUAGCAGAUUUAAGAAAGGGAAAAAAACUGCGCAACAGGAACUGGGAAAGAGGAGUGAGAAACGUUCCUGCAGACACCAAGGCUGCUUUUCUCCAGGGAGGCACACACUGGAGCAAUAUAACCUUCUCUGGAUGUGAGCAGAGAUUGCGCUUUUCCUCCACUGACACUUUCUGACAGGAGGCAAGGAGACAUACAAAGAGUGAAAGGCAGCUUUAAGGUGAGGUUAAAUGUUAGAGCUGAUGUAAUCUAAGAGUUUACUACAGCAAAAAAGAGGAAAUUCUUCCUUCCAUCCCAUUCCUCCAGCAGCGUCAAUCACCCUGGUCCUUUUCUGAUGUGAUUCAGGUGUCAGAUUCAUCAGAACCUUAGCUGACAUGAUUAAGUUUCUAGACUAUUGGAAAACUAUAUAUAUAUAUAUAUAUAUAUAAUAUAUAGAUAAGUAUAUAUUUUUAUAUAUUUAUAUAUAAAUAUAUGAAUAAUAUAUCACAGAAUCACAGGGAAUCACAGAAUUUCUAGGUUGGAAGAGACCUC